rnacentral:rRNA from 1 species
CGCUUGACGACCAUAGCAAGGUGGUCCCACUCCUUCCCAUCCCGAACAGGACAGUGAAACACCUUUGCGCCGAUGAUAGUGGGUGGACACCUGUGAAAGUAGGGCAUCGUCAAGCU